rnacentral:rRNA from 1 species
CAACUUUUAACAACGGAUCUCUUGGCUCUCGCAUCGAUGAAGAACGCAGCGAAAUGCGAUACGUAAUGUGAAUUGCAGAAUUCAGUGAAUCAUCGAAUCUUUGAACGCACCUUGCGCCCCUUGGUAUCCGAGGGGCACACCCGUUUGAGU